rnacentral:rRNA from 1 species
UACGUAGGGUGCAAGCGUUAAUCGGAAUUACUGGCCGUAAAGCGUGCGCAGGCGGUUUUGUAAGUCUGAUGUGAAAUCCCCGGGCUCAACCUGGGAAUUGCAUUGGAGACUGCAAGGCUAGAAUCUGGCAGAGGGGGGUAGAAUUCCACGUGUAGCAGUGAAAUGCGUAGAGAUGUGGAGGAACACCGAUGGCGAAGGCAGCCCCCUGGGUCAAGAUUGACGCUCAUGCACGAAAGCGUGGGGAGCAAACAGG